AAUGGAUGCCCUCGAGCUGACAAGCACUGUGUCACAGUCACAAGCUCUAAGGUUGUUGUCUUAGAGUGGGAGCCUCGAGCUGAUUUACAUUCCUUCGUGGUCGCCUCUGUGUUUGGAGGAUGGAGACGAUAUGGACCCACCAGCUGACUUGAGCUUCCUCCUUGUUCCUGAGCUGAUUGGGCGCCUCUAAGCAUUAGGAGCAGAGAGAUCAAAUAUGAAUGAAGAGAAAGCGGACCGACCCUGGACCGAUGGUGACGACUGGUGACAUAGCAGUUGUUGAUGACGAAUGACACAUCUGGAACUCCGUGAUCCAACCCGAAACGGAAUCGAGUCGAUCCCUCUGUUGGUAAUGAUCCUAUGGAGUGAUGUCCCCAUAUACAGGGAUCCUUUUCUUGUUAUUUGCAGUUACGGAUUUUGAUUCUAUUAUUAUAAAUGGAUCAAUGAAAUAAUCAAGUGAACAUUUUUAAAAAAUAAAAAUGCAGAGAGGGAUGCAUUUUCCAUUCAUGAAAAAGUGAGUGAAGGAAGAAAUAUCAUUUAUAUAUAUAAUUUAUCUUUUUAAUACUGAAUUUAAUGAAGGAAUGAAUGUUUACAGAAUAUUCCCUCUGUGGGUAAAGAUGAUAGAGAUCAUAUAAUUAAGAAUCAAUAUUCUGGUUCCUUGUCAGCGGCAAGUUGGAUGUUCAUAUUCUUAAGAGAUAAUGAUGUUAGUAUGACUUAUUACUUAUUGUACUUACUAAUCCCUAAUUGAUUGACUAUGUUAAAUGGGGAAAGCAAGGGCCAGUGAGUAGAUGGUCUCAAUCUCUGCAUCAUCUGCUCUGCUUCUCCUCCUAAUGGACUCACCCAGUUGAUUUACUCAUGAUGCAUGCUCACCUGCUCUACAGUUACUUCUGUGCCUUAGGAGUGUAGAGACUAGUGUGAAUAAUAAAGUUCUUGUCU